rnacentral:tRNA from 1 species
AGGGGAGUGGCUCAAUGGUAGAGCAACGGUCUCCAAAACCGUAGGCUGCAGGUUCGAGUCCUGUCUCCCCUGCCA